GGACAUUCAGGGCAUGUUUGUACUAACUUAUCUCGGUAAAGGGAAAGCUGUUCCUUUAAAUUAUGUUUGCUGUGACUCUGGAAACUGAGCAAACAAAGUCUGAGGGGAAACUUCACUCUCAAGCAGAAGUGACAGAAGGUACGAGGACCGAAGGACAGGGAUCUUCAGUAGGACAUACCUGCCUCAGGAUUCACAACUGAAUUGCAAAUCUUGAACCAUUUUGAGUUCAAUCCGGAUUUGUUGGACAUAACCUCAUCCCGAUGGCAAAGGAGAGACUGGUUCAGCCCCAGACUGUCAGACUGCUCCUUUGGUCUUCUUGAACUACGGGGAAGUAUGUUUGCCUGCAAAGCACAUUCAGUUCUAAUUCAGAUAAAGCUGAUGGAGCUGUGGAGGCUACCUGUCUUCUGCUGCUCUGCUGCGGAUCCAUCCUCUCAGUUGCCAUAGAGACAAGAUCUGGAAGCCAUGGAUGGGCACGGGAGUGAAGCCGCCGGCAAUCUCCAGCAGGGCCUUUCUCAGCAGGUACCGAGAGAGUCAGGCUCAGUCUCUGAAGGUGAGGAAGAGCCAGAAGAUGCUAACUCGGUGGCCCAGGAGAGGGACUCACACACCCAUUACAUUGCCAUUCAAAGAAAUUCCAAGUACUACCGGUCCAUGAGACUUCCAAGCAGAGGGAAAAGAAAGACUUCGAGAGAGGCAAUGCACAUGGGGCAUGCUACAGGUUCCCUCAAAAACAACGAGCCUGUCAAAGAGCCUCUGAACGUUUUACCUCAUAAGGGAUCGCCCUCCCCAGUAAACUCUGACAAGACACCUUUAGACGAACUAUUGAUCCAAAGUGCUGAGGGUUACUAACGUGUUAGGGAAGAGCUGCACCCAACCUGUCCGCAAGCGCUCGAACCCAUCCGAGGGUGUAACCCGCACUCUGGAGCUCAAGAGGAUUUACCCCUGGGGCGGAAAAACAAUUGCCUGCACGAAGACAGAUAUAGAUCAUUGAGUACUGAGAUACUUGCUGCCUAAACGAGACAAAUAUAUCCUUAUGGAAGUAGCGACGCUAAGGAAGGGGAGACGGGGGAAAUGACCGAGCGGGUGCAAAGCCCUGCCAGAGGAGGAGAGGAGGAGAGCGGUCAAUCCUGUGGGGUAAUCAGGGGUGCAGUUCCCAGCAGGAGGGAUUAGCCUGAGUUUCCCAGUUAACCUUCCUCCAUCUCGGGGAUUCAUUCCCGGAGAAGAAACGCACCAUACGCACCAGAUCUGGAAGCAGUUCAGGAGAGCCCCCCUCUCCCACCCCCUUUUUUUUUUUCUUUUUUUUUUUCCUUUUCCUCUCCCUCGAAGCCGUCGCCAGCCACAGCUAGGCAGAGAGGUGGAGGGGCUGGGGGGCAGCGCUGUGCCCCGGGUCUGAGGGAGGAGAGGUCAGUGUCAGGGCUGGGGGCUGUGCAUGGAGGAGAGGGGACGGGGCCCGGGCUGGUGCAUGGGGUGGGAUGGGGUGUGUGGGUGCUUGCUGGGGGAGGAUG
rnacentral:lncRNA from 1 species